UCCUUUUAGUCAGCAUUAGGGUUUUAAACCUAAACUAAACUUUUUCCUUUCAGCCAGCAUUAGGGUUUUAAACCCUAAACUGAGCUUUUCCAUGCAAUCAGCAUUAGGGUUUUAAACCCUAAACUGAACUUUUCCUUUUAGUCAGCAUUAGGGUUUUAAAACCCUAAACUGAGCUUUUCCAUGUAAUCAGCAUUAGGGUUUUAAACCCUAAACUGAAUUUUCCUUUUAGUCAGCAUUAGGGUUUUAAACCCUAAACUGAAUUUUUCCUUUAGUCAGCAUUAGGGUUUUAAACCCUAAACUGAACUUUUUCCUUUCAGCCAGCAUUAGGGUUUUAAACCCUAAACUGAGCUUUUCCAUGCAAUCAGCAUUAGGGUUUUAAACCCUAAACUGAACUUUUUCCAUUCAGCCAACAUUAGGGUUUUAAACCCUAAACUGAGCUUUUCCAUGCAAUCAGCAUUGGGGUUUUAAACCCUAAACUGAAUUUUCCUUUUAGUCAGCAUUAGGGUUUCAAACCCUAAACUGAAUUUUUCCUUUAGUCAGCAUUAGGGUUUUAAACCCUAAACUGAACUUUUUCCAUUCAGCCAGCAUUAGGGUUUUAAACCCUAAACUGAGCUUUUCCAUGUAAUCAGCAUUAGGGUUUUAAACCCUAAAAUGAAUUUUCCUUUUAGUCAGCAUUAGGGUUUUAAACCCUAAACUGAACUUUUCCUUCCAGUCAGCAUUAGGGUUUUAAACCCUAAAUUGAACUUUCCCUUUUAGUCAGCAUUAGGGUUUUAAACCCUAAACUGAAUUCUCCUUUUAGUCAGCAUUAGGGUUUUAAACCCUAAACUAAACUUUUCCUUUCAGCCAGCAUUAGGGUUUUAAAACCCUAAACUGAGCUUUUCCAUGUAAUCAGCAUUAGUGUUUUAAACCCUAAACUGAACUUUCCUUUUAGUCAGCAUUAGGGUUUUAAACCCUAAACUAAAUUUUUCCUUUAGUCAGCAUUAGGGUUUUAAACCCUAAACUGAACUUUUUCCUUUCAGCCAGCAUUAGGGUUUUAAACCCUAAACUGAGCUUUUCCAUGCAAUCAGCAUUAGGGUUUUAAACCCUAAACUGAGCUUUUCCAUGUAAUCAGCAUUAGGGUUUUAAACCCUAAACUAA
rnacentral:lncRNA from 1 species